AGUGAACGCUGGCGGUAGGCCUAACACAUGCAAGUCGAACGGCAGCACAGUAAGAGCUUGCUCUUACGGGUGGCGAGUGGCGGACGGGUGAGGAAUACAUCGGAAUCUACUUUUUCGUGGGGGAUAACGUAGGGAAACUUACGCUAAUACCGCAUACGACCUACGGGUGAAAGCAGGGGAUCUUCGGACCUUGCGCGAUUGAAUGAGCCGAUGUCGGAUUAGCUAGUUGGCGGGGUAAAGGCCCACCAAGGCGACGAUCCGUAGCUGGUCUGAGAGGAUGAUCCGCCACACGGUAACUGAGACACGUUCCAGACUCCUACAGGAGGCAGCAGUGGGGAAUAUUGGACAAUGGGCGCAAGCCUGAUCCAGCCAUACCGCGUGGGUGAAGAAGGCCUUCGGGUUGUAAAGCCCUUUUGUUGGGAAAGAAAAGCAGCAGGUUAAUACCCCGCUGUUCUGACGGUACCCAAAGAAUAAGCACCGGCUAACUUCGUG
rnacentral:rRNA from 1 species